UCCUAUCGAACCACAUUGUAAGUUUGAUCUAAGCAUGCCAAUGGAUUGAAUGGUUCUUCAAAUGUUUAAGUAGACUGAGCUGGUUCAUAGGUGGAAGCAAGCAAUGCUUAGAUUUUUCAUCACACAUAGCUAUUUAAGUUGUUGCAUAAGCAUCUAAAUGGCUGUUUUAAUAACCAUUAUCUUGAGCUAUUCCCCUCUAUCCAUUUUCGCUAUAAUUUCAUGUGAGCAAUAGUAAUUUAGAAGCCCAAACAUAUACAUUUGCAUGGCAUUGCUUCAUGACAGGUAGAUGCAUCAUUGAUGCAUCUCUGAUGGGCUAUUUUUCAAAUGUAAUUAAAGGUCCAAGUCCUUUGUAUCAGUUUUUUUUAAAUCAAUACUCUUAUUGUAUAUUUAACAAUACAGUGGAACAGUCAAUGCUGCUGUUAAAUUUCUUUCCUCAUCAUGCAAAUUCUUUACAAAGAAGGUAAUGAAAUUUCAAGCAUUAACACUCUGAUGUAGUCAGUGGAGGAUCCUUCUUUUGAUUUAUAAAUGCUUUAGCAGAUGUCGAAACUUUGAUGAAAUUGCAUGUGCUGAUAGUCAUGCGUAAUCUAUCUUGUUGAUUUCUAU
rnacentral:lncRNA from 1 species